rnacentral:rRNA from 1 species
CGCUGGCGGCGUGCUUAACACAUGCAAGUCGAGCGAAGCACUUAUGAAAGAUUCUUCGGAUGAUUUCAUUUGUGACUGAGCGGCGGACGGGUGAGUAACGCGUGGGUAACCUGCCUCAUACAGGGGGAUAACAGUUGGAAACGACUGCUAAUACCGCAUAAGCGCACAGUACCGCAUGGUACAGUGUGAAAAACUCCGGUGGUAUGAGAUGGCCUCGCGUCUGAUUAGCUAGUUGGUGAGGUAACGGCCCACCAAGGCGACGAUCAGUAGCCGGUCUGAGAGGAUGAACGGCCACAUUGGGACUGAGAUACGGCCCAGACUCCUACGGGAGGCAGCAGUGGGGAAUCUUCCGCAAUGGGCGAAAGCCUGACGGAGCAACGCCGCGUGAGUGAAGAAGGCCUUCGGGUCGUAAAGCUCUGUUGUCGGGGACGAAUGUAGUUACCAUCAACAACCGUAACUAAUGACGGUACCUGACGAGGAAGCCACGGCUAACUACGUG